rnacentral:rRNA from 1 species
GGGGGCAACCCUGAACCAGCCAUGCCGCGUGCAGGACGACUGCCCUAUGGGUUGUAAACUGCUUUUGUUAGGGAAUAAACCCCGCUACGUGUAGCGGGCUGAAUGUACCUAAAGAAUAAGGAUCGGCUAACUCCGUGCCAGCAGCCGCGGUAAUACGGAGGAUCCGAGCGUUAUCCGGAUUUAUUGGGUUUAAAGGGUGCGUAGGCGGCACUUUAAGUCAGGGGUGAAAGACGGCAGCUCAACUGUCGCAGUGCCCUUGAUACUGAAGUGCUUGAAUGCGGUUGAAGACGGCGGAAUGAGACAAGUAGCGGUGAAAUGCAUAGAUAUGUCUCAGAACACCGAUUGCGAAGGCAGCUGUCUAAGCCGUUAUUGACGCUGAUGCACGAAAGCGUGGGGAUCGAACAGGAUUAGAUACCCUGGUAGUCCACGCCGUAAACGAUGCUAACUCGUUUUUGGAAUGUAAGUUUCAGAGACUAAGCGAAAGUGAUAAGUUAGCCACCUGG